UACGAAGGGGGGCUAGCGUUGCUCGGAUUGACUGGGCGUAAAGGGCGCGUAGGCGGUUCGUACAGUCAGACGUGAAAUUCCUGGGCUCAACCUGGGGGCUGCGUUUGAUACGUGCGGACUUGAGUGCGGAAGAGGGUCGUGGAAUUCCCAGUGUAGAGGUGAAAUUCGUAGAUAUUGGGAAGAACACCGGUGGCGAAGGCGGCGACCUGGUCCGAUACUGACGCUGAGGUGCGAAAGCGUGGGGAGCGAACAGG
rnacentral:rRNA from 1 species